GAAGAAGKRAGACCGCACCUGAUCCUGUGCCCAGUGAAACGCUUUUCGCCCAGUUGGAGUGGCGCUGAACGUGUCCCAUCAAUAUCCCUCGAUCUUUUAAACAGUGCGCAUUUUAGGAUUUUCUGGACUUUUCUUUAUUUUGUAUCGUUUUGGCGUGGACAUGGCACAUUUUUAAAGAGGGCUAAUGAGAGCAGAGACGUAGUUAUUUUACUAGCUAGGUGUUUAGUUAGGUAACUAGUGGAAGCUAGCWUAGCCACAUGGUGUACAUGUCCAGAACUGUCAUGCGACGUGGUUGUUGGGCCGAUGCGUUGCGAUUUCUUUCGGGCAUGGAUUACACAUUUAAACAACGUUUUACCCGGUUUAUCUGAAUUCUGGGCAACCCAGUUCAACUUUGUUUUAACGUCGCAGGCUGGGGUUCGUAUGGUCAAGUGUUGAAGUUAACGUUGCUCUUCAUGAGCACGGUGGUAGUCGACCAAAGGAGGCGAAGUAUGAAUCAACACCCAAGUGAAGGGAGAGCCAUGGGAGCUAGUGGAACCAAUAGCACCCCAUCGACACCAAAAAGAGACCAAAGACCGUUGUUGUCACACACUGUUUCGUAUCAGACAAAACCUCGGACUGUGCCGAGUGGAGAGGGUCAUCCUGUCCGAUGACCUGAGCGACGUCCGCGCCUUUUUCCAGCACCUCGUCACCACACAGAUAAUCGUCAAAGCAGGAGAAGCCUUACCGGUAUGCAAAUGAAGGAGCCAAAUGAACGUCUCGUUCACCUAAAAAGAUCCGUACAAAAAGAACUGUUCGUUAGCGACGACCAAUCACUAGGCUGGAUGAGUCGUUUUUAGCGAACACUGGCAAGUCUCAACAUGGGCUUCGAAUCCUUGGACAAACCAACGAGAUGUUUGUAUUGACAUUUACUCCUGAGGUGCUGACUUGCUGCACCCUCGAUAA